rnacentral:rRNA from 1 species
AUUGAACGCUGGCGGCAUGCCUUACACAUGCAAGUCGAACGGCAGCACAGGUGCUUGCACCUGGUGGCGAGUGGCGAACGGGUGAGUAAUACAUCGGAACGUACCUUAUCGUGGGGGAUAACGCAGCGAAAGCUGUGCUAAUACCGCAUACGCCCUGAGGGGGAAAGCGGGGGAUCGAAAGACCUCGCGCGAUUAGAGCGGCCGAUGCCUGAUUAGCUUGUUGGCGGGGUAAAAGCCCACCAAGGCGACGAUCAGUAGCUGGUCUGAGAGGACGAUCAGGCACACUGGGACUGAGACACGGCCCAGACUCCUACGGGAGGCAGCAGUGGGGAAUUUUGGACAAUGGGGGCAACCCUGAUCCAGCAAUGCCGCGUGAGUGAAGAAGGCCUUCGGGUUGUAAAGCUCUUUUGUCAGGGAAGAAACACCGGCUCUAACACAGUCCGGGAAUGACGGUACCUGAAGAAUAAGCACCGGCUAACUACGUGCCAGCCGCCGCCGUAA